rnacentral:rRNA from 1 species
ACAACGGAGAGUUUGAUCCUGGCUCAGGAUGAACGCUGGCGGCGUGCUUAACACAUGCAAGUCGAACGAACCUUCGGGUUAGUGGCGGACGGGUGAGUAACGCGUGAGAAUCUGCCCUCAGGAGGGGGAUAACGGCUGGAAACGGCCGCUAAUACCCCAUAUGCCGCGAGGUGAAAUGAAUUUCGCCUGAGGAUGAGCUCGCGUCUGAUUAGCUAGUUGGUGGGGUAAGAGCCUACCAAGGCAUCGAUCAGUAGCUGGUCUGAGAGGAUGAUCAGCCACACUGGGACUGAGACACGGCCCAGACUCCUACGGGAGGCAGCAGUGGGGAAUUUUCCGCAAUGGGCGAAAGCCUGACGGAGCAACGCCGCGUGAGGGAUGAAGGCCUCUGGGCUGUAAACCUCUUUUAUCAAGGAAGAAGAUCUGACGGUACUUGAUGAAUAAGCCACGGCUAAUUCCGUGCCAGCAGCCGCGGUAAUACGGGAGUGGCAAGCGUUAUCCGGAAUUAUUGGGCGUAAAGCGUCCGCAGGCGGUCUUUUAAGUCUGCUGUUAAAGCGUGGAGCUUAACUCCAUUUCGGCAGUGGAAACUGGAAGACUAGAGUGUGGUAGGGGCAGAGGGAAUUCCCGGUGUAGCGGUGAAAUGCGUAGAUAUCGGGAAGAACACCAGUGGCGAAGGCGCUCUGCUGGGCCAUAACUGACGCUCAUGGACGAAAGCCAGGGGAGCGAAAGGGAUUAGAUACCCCUGUAGUCCUGGCCGUAAACGAUGAACACUAGGUGUCGGGGGAAUCGACCCCCUCGGUGUCGUAGCCAACGCGUUAAGUGUUCCGCCUGGGGAGUACGCACGCAAGUGUGAAACUCAAAGGAAUUGACGGGGGCCCGCACAAGCGGUGGAGUAUGUGGUUUAAUUCGAUGCAACGCGAAGAACCUUACCAGGGUUUGACAUCCUGCGAAUCCCUUGGAAACGAGGGAGUGCCUUCGGGAACGCAGUGACAGGUGGUGCAUGGCUGUCGUCAGCUCGUGUCGUGAGAUGUUGGGUUAAGUCCCGCAACGAGCGCAACCCACGUCGUUAGUUGCCAGCAUUCAGUUGGGCACUCUAGCGAGACCGCCGGUGAUAAACCGGAGGAAGGUGUGGAUGACGUCAAGUCAUCAUGCCCCUUACAUCCUGGGCUACACACGUACUACAAUGCUACGGACAAAGGGCAGCAAACUCGCGAGAGCUAGCAAAUCCCAUAAACCGUGGCUCAGUUCAGAUCGUAGGCUGCAACUCGCCUACGUGAAGGAGGAAUCGCUAGUAAUCGCAGGUCAGCAUACUGCGGUGAAUACGUUCCCGGGCCUUGUACACACCGCCCGUCACACCAUGGAAGUUGGCCACGCCCGAAGCCGUUACUCCAACCCGCAAGGGAGGAGGACGCCGAAGGUGGGGCUGAUGACUGGGGUGAAGUCGUAACAAGGUAGCCGUACCGGAAGGUGCGGCUGGAUCACCUCCU